rnacentral:rRNA from 1 species
UACGUAGGGUGCAAGCGUUAAUCGGAAUUACUGGGCGUAAAGCGUGCGCAGGCGGUUAUGCAAGUCAGGUGUGAAAUCCCCGGGCUCAACCUGGGAACUGCAUUUGUGACUGCAUGGCUAGAGUACGGUAGAGGGGGAUGGAAUUCCGCGUGUAGCAGUGAAAUGCGUAGAUAUGCGGAGGAACACCGAUGGCGAAGGCAAUCCCCUGGACCUGUACUGACGCUCAUGCACGAAAGCGUGGGGAGCAAACAGG